UACGAAGGGGGCUAGCGUUGCUCGGAAUUACUGGGCGUAAAGGGCGCGCAGGCGGCUCAGACAGUCAGAUGUGAAAGCCCCGGGCUUAACCUGGGAACUGCAUUUGAUACUACUGAGCUUGAGUACGGGAGAGGAUAGUGGAAUUCCCAGUGUAGAGGUGAAAUUCGUAGAUAUUGGGAAGAACACCGGUGGCGAAGGCGGCUAUCUGGACCGUAACUGACGCUGAGGCGCGAAAGCGUGGGGAGCAAACAGG
rnacentral:rRNA from 1 species